rnacentral:snoRNA from 1 species
UCGCACCGUUCGUAACCUGGUUCAGUUGUCCGUGUGAACUCUGGGUUCCAUUCCGGUGCCACAGUGAGCUCCGGUGAGGCAGGGGAGCGGCGCCUUUUCUGUGUUCGCUCCCUGUUCACUCUCCGGGAACACGA